CCAUGGUUAAUGGUAUUUUGGCAGAUUGGGCAUCUUUUUAAGGUUUAAGCUCGGCAAUGGAGAGCAAAAUUGAGCAUUCGAGCGAGAAAAUCGUAUGUGGAGAAGGUCGAGGUUAGAGAGAAGAAGUUGUCGAGAGAGAAUGAGGACCCUAGAGAGAGAAAGUGCCCGAAGUACGAGGGAAAUGUCUCCCUCUGAUUUUCCCAUUUCCAUUUCAAAAGGUCAGUAGUGGUGGGGGACUUUCAGUCUCAGAAGUCACUUUGAAACUACGAAAAUUGCACCAAUAUCUCAAUUCUUUGACAUUAGAUGUUCUGCAAAUUUUCGAAAUUACGCUUAAACAGUGAUGGGCAGAUCUGGACCGUUGCCUGACAUCAAUGGAAGUAUAGUAUGAAACUAUCAAGUUUGAGAAUAAUUAGAACCAUUAUUAUAAAAUCUGGCGGUCUGGAUUAGGAAUCUUCGAUUAAUACUGAGAAUGGGUUUGGAGUUGGACUGAUCCAUGCUGGAAUUAUGAGUGGUUUGGUUUUUGUAAACUCGCUCGUUCCGUAAGGAACUAGGCAAGUUUGUCAAGGAAUGGGGGUGUGCAAGUUUGUCAAGGAAUGGGGGUGUCUGGAUGGGUCAGAUCACCUAAUUCCCACCUGUCUUAAUUUUAUUAUUUAUUGUUUUCUAGUUGUUAUUUUCUUGAUGGAUUGGUUUUGAAGAAUCGGUGUAAUUCUUCAAUCCAGAUCGGCUACUAGUUUAUACAAACCGAUCUUUAGGAUGGCCGAUCAGUUUGGAAGUGUCAUGGCUAAAAACAAUUGAUGGAAGGUACGGGGGAGAGUGGCACUCACCAUGCGUCAAUCUCACUGGAAAUUGUUUUGGCAGACAAAAGCAUCAAUAUGAUGGUUUCAACAUUUCAAUCUCAUGGAAAAGAAUAGAUUUUACAACUUUUGAAAAAGAUUCAUCUUGUAACACAUUAACAGUCUAUUUUCAAAUGUUAAAAUAAACAAUUAGAUUUGUAUUAUUUUUUGAACUUCAAAUUUCAUAAUCAGAUCAACAAAUAGAUUUUCAUUGUCAUCGUAGGCGUUCCAAUGCUGAAACUGCAUUUUCUAGUGGUGCUAUGAGAUACAACUUUAUAUUAUGUUAUGCAGCACUAAACCUUGUUUAACUGCGUCGUUCACUCUUCGGUCUAUAUUAAAGCGACCAUAUGGAAUUCUCAAUAUAUAUUUGUUAUUUCUUUCUUUUUCAACAAUAUUUGUAUAUAUUAUAGAUUGAUUUUAUCAUGUUUUAUCUUCUCUUCCUUUCUUCUAUAUUAUAUUGUAUAAGUGGGGUGCUUACUUAUUUGGGUAAUUGGGUGAUCUCUCGUUCUAUCCAAUGUCAAUAUUCAAAUAAGGUAUGUUUUAUUCUUAUCCAUCCUUUUCUUUACAUUAUUAGAAAUCUAGUAGAUUGAUUUUCUUUUAGAUUUGUAUUAAAAUUUAUGGUGAAAUUUAUAAGCAUGCAAUUCAAACUAUUUUUUUCUAUUUUAGUCAAUGAUUAAUUUACCGUUUCUUCUUUCCCAAUGUCAUGAAAACUUUUGUCGAGUAAGUAAAUGGUUUUUCUUCUUUUUGCCUUUUUUAACUUUUCCUUUACAUGUAACAGGCAUGUUUGGAAAGCUAAAUAAAUGACAUAUUUUUUAUAAAUGUAUUCAAAAUUUAUGAUGAAUUUGUUGAAUUGUUAUACAUGUAAUUCAUACCUUUUCUAUUUUUCAAUAAAAGUCAACUUGCUAUUUACUAUUUUAUAUUAUUACCGAUGAUUUGCUUUUCCUUUCUUUUUAUUUGCAUUUUCCUAGGUGGCUUUUGCAUGACUUCUAUGCUGCCUUGAGAAAUCUGUUGUUUACUCAAAUUUUAAAGGACUAGCAUUUUUCUUGUAAUUUUAAAAUUUAAAAAUUUAUUUAGGUGUUACAUGGCAUUUGAUAUUUUACAAAACAUUACAAAAUUUUCAAAAUGGCAAAUCCGCUUUAUAAAAUUUUAUUUUUAAAUUUAUAAAACUUUCGCUAUCUAAAAUAAUAAGGACUAAUUAUUUGUUAACAUUUUUCAAUAUUUCAAAAAAUUAGACUAUGUUAUUCUUAACCCAAAAGGAAAAAGGCUUGUAGCCUGUUUCCGUUUUUUUCCAAAAAAAUUAUAUAAUUAAGUGUAAAGUUUUAUGAUUCAAAAUUAUUUACAGAUAAAUUUUUUAUUUUCCAAAUUAAAAUUUUGUAUUGUUUAUAUUUUGAAAAAUUUUCCGUUUUUAAUAUUUUGAAUAUAUAUAUAUAUAUAUAUAUAUAUAUUUAAAUAUAAAAUUAGUUUCAAAAUUUUUGUUUUUUUAAUUUAUGGAUUGUAAUAGUUUUUAAUUUCAUUCAUGGCCCAUUAAUCCAUUUUCUUAUAGACUUUUAAAUUAUAAAAAAGUGCGUUCUAUUAAUUAUUAUCAAUUAUUUUAUUUUUUUGGAAGCAUUUAGGCUUGAUCUAUAUUAAUGUAAUUGUCUCAUGGGUGUGGCUUGUAUAAAGCUUAGGCACUAAACAAUAAAGUAAGGUGAACAAUCAAAUAAUGUUGAAAGAUGUUGUUUUAGUAUUGAAAAUCUUUGUAAUUUUUCUCAUCUCAAUAGCUUACCUAUUGUGUAUUAAUACAUUAUGAAAUAUUAUAAGUUACUAAUAGAUAAAUCCCCUCAAGGCAUCUAUUUGUUUGUCUUUGAUGACUCAACCAGGUUAUAUUUGUCUUUGAUGACUCAACCAGGUCACAUAAGAAAUUAUUCCCAAUUAAACUUUCUAAAAAUUGACAUUUUCUAAAUAAUGAAUUUAUUAACAACAAUGGUAAAGAGCAUGCAUAAUACUUUCAUCUAUUAGCUUUACAUGUUAUUAUUAAUUAUUUAUCACAAAUUUUACAAAUUAUUUAUUUUAGUAUUAUUGUGUAUUGUUAAUUAUUUAUAAUUCCACUUAGAUUUUUAUUAAAUUACUUUAUUAAUGCAUGAUAAUAUCAUACAUGUGUUUUAUUGGACUUUAUUUUCAUAUAUUAUUUUAUUGAAUGAGAUUGUGCAAACUUUUGUGCACUACAAUACUAGUUAUUAUUCAUGGAGAAAGAGGUAUAACUGUUGUUAUUAUUGAUGGAGAGAGGCAUGACUGUUAUGAUUUUAAUCCCACAUUGACGGUUGGGGAAGUUUCGGGAUACAUAGGGGCUAUAAAACCAUACAGCAAAGACAUUCUAAAGCAUACCUUUCUCGGCCUUUUGGCUAAGAUCAAGUGUAGUAUCUGUUCUUAUCAGUUUAAUAUCUGAUACGUGGUCCAUAGGACCACACGAUAUUAAAUUAAUUUUUCAGUGGGGGAGGGGCCACCGCACUAGCUUGCUAGUCGGUCCUUCGGGCGUCGCCCAUGCGUUGCACUACUGCACGGGCAUGGCGCACCCCUAUCAAAUCAAACUCUAAACUUGGGAGACUUUUCCGUGGUCUCUCUCUCCCUCUCUCUCCCCUCUAAUAUUAAUUCAUUUUCUCUCUACUCUCUUCUAUUUUUCUCUCUCUAACCCACGCUUCUCUCCUCUUUCUAGCCCUUUCUUGUUAGUCGUAGGACCUCUCUCUCUGGUAACCCUUCCUUCUCUUCUCUCUCUCUCUAAGACCUCGUUCAUGUUAAUCGUACGACUCUUUUCUCUCUCUAAAAACCCUUCUCUCACACUUUUUUCUCUCUAAAAACCCUCCACUCACACCUUUUCCUCUCUCUAAAAACCAUCCUCUCACACCUUUUUCUCUCUCUAAAACCCUCCCCCCCCUUUUCUCUCGAACCCUUGUCUCUCAUGUCCUCUCCUCUCUCUUAUGUGUUAAUCCUAUGACCCUUCUCUCUCUAACUCCUACUAUCAACAUCCUCUUAUAUUCUCUCUCUAACUCCUCUCUAUAUGUUAAUCGUAAGACCUUUCUCUCUCUAACUCCUCUCUCAUGUUGAUCGUAGGAGUCUCAUUGACGAACGUGGUGUCUGUUGUGACAUGUUGAUCGUAGGAGUCUCAUUGACGAACGUGGUGUCUGUUGUGAUGGGUUGCCUUGCCGGAGUCUCGUUGAUGAACAUGGUGUCUGUUGUGAUGGGUUGGCUUGCCUUAUGACACUUCUAAGGCAGAGCAGUGUCCUAUUUGGGAAGGACCCUUGAUCCUAUGAUUAUGGUAUGGUCUUGUGGGAUAGAAUUAUUGUAUGUUCUAGGAUCCUAAGUUUUGAGAUGUGACUUAUUAAAUUUAGCAAAUCGUCAUCAAUGUUUUUUUUUAAUUAAUUGAAGUAUGAUAGACGAAUUCUGAUCCGCUAGUUUGCUCUAUAUUAAAGGCUAUACACUGCCAUAAAUUUUCAUAUUUUUCUUUUACAUACCAAUAUCACAAAAAAAAAAAGAGGAAAAAAAAAACAAUUUUGCUCUCUAUAUACUUUAAAAAGAACAUUGUCUUAAGAUUGAAUAGGGAUUGCCUGAAGGGCAAGAUCUAGAACUCAAAAUUCAAUUAUUAUUGUUUUUUUUUUGAAAAGUAAUCAGGAUCCCGAAACAGCAUAUCAAAAAAAUCCAAGCUAGUUCUUUUCCAAAGAGUUAAAAGUAUAACUAUGCUCAUGCUGGAGCAUGUUGUACGUGCCAGUUGUUAAUGCUUUCAAUGAGAGCUCGAUCAAAAUGAAACACUCAUUUUAAUCAUAUGAAAAUGUCGCAAAGGGGAUGAGAAAUAGGCUAAUCAUUUUGCAUAAAACUUGUUUUGUAAAGGUAAUUUUCUCCAUUUUAAGUGGCAUAUUUUAGACUUCUCUUGUAAAUGUUUUUAUUUCCAUUACUUAAUAAUAAAGUUCAGGCCAACUUUUAGCUUUCAAGCUCCACUUGUCAUGUAAAGAUACGACCCCAAUUAUUCAUGAGAUCUAAAUCUCACAUCCGAAGUGAUUAGUUUUCAAGGAGUUUUCUGUUCACUCUCAAAACCAUAAAAUAACGAGGCUCCCUCUCCUAACAAAGAGUCGACAUCCAUUAAUUUUCCAAAUAGAAUCAAUCGUUGUAAACCAUGCUCAAUUCAACCUCAUUAGCAAUUACAUUACGACAUGGAGCUACGAAAGAAAGAACAGUAGGUGAUCUCUUAUUAUUUUCUAAAUGAACUCCCAUCAAAAUUGAGUUUCAAAGAACCACAUGGACAUAGAUUCCAUCUUCAUACUAUAUCGUAUUUGAUACACCCAAUUUUAUAACGUUAUCCGAAUUGAAAGAAACACCACCAGUGUCUCCAUAUAUUUGUUUUUUUAUCUGACCUACCUCUAACACCUUGCCAUUAAAAUUUCUUAUGCUCUAUUAUAUCAAAAUCUCUCACAAAAUGGUCAGUCUAAAGGCCUUGAAAUGAUUUCCCCAUUCCUUGUUAGAUUUGGAAGAUUUAAAUGAUCAAUGGAGUCAGAAUACCUUUCAGGCAAGUUGAUGAAAACACCAUGUUAUUCAAAGCUUAACUUCAAAUAUGUUGCGAGAAAGGACAAUUCAGAAAUAGAUGAUCUCCAUCUUCCUCAUUGUUUUUACAGUUAAAAGAAAAGAUCGACGAGAACUAAUCCCCUUUCCUUUAGUGGUUCACUGUUAACACCUUUCCCUUACUUACCAGGCACAAAGAGUAAUUUUAUGAAGAGAAGAAACAACAACAUGUAUUUAAUCCACCUGUUUCUUGCUCCCAUAUAGCCUUAUCAUCAAAUUCCGUUGAGACAAAAAAAUUCUUCAACCUAUAUAAUUACGAUGUAAGUUAACUGCGACUUCCUGAACCCUAUUAUAUUUGCAAUAGGUAUUCCAAAAGACCUCGGUUCCUGUUCCUGUAGCCACUUCACAGACCUUGACAUAUCUAUUAUCCACCACUACGAAGAGAUAAGGGAAUCUAAGUUUCAAUGAUACAUCUCCCAACUAUUCAUGGAACCAGAAUUGAGUUUCAUCAUGUUUAGCAAUCAUCCAUCUUGAGUUCCUUACGUAAAUGCCCUAACGUUGUACUAGGGGUGAGAACGGGUUGGAUCGGGGCCAGAUCCGGAUGAAGAUCAUGCAUGGCAAUUUACUUCAAUUGAACUGAAUCCUGGUUCCUCGUUGAAAUUUCUAUCAAUCAUAACCAUUCUUGCUUUCAUGGAUUCACACCAUUACCCCCCUUGAUGCAUAAAUAUUUGAUACCAGGAUAUGAGCACCUUCAUCUUCUAGCCUAUUAUUGAUGAGAUGCUUAGCAACUGAUUCACCCCAGCCUAAGGCAUUAUAAGUUUGGCAUGCACCAAGCAAUGCCCCUUAAGCACUUGCACCCAUGCUUUUUGUCAUGGCCAUGCUCUUCUGCAUGGGCAUGGUCAUCAAAAGACCAUGAGCCUCAUCAAGCCUACCAGCUCUGCUCAAGAGGUCAACCAUGCAUGCAUAGUGCUUCUCAUUAGGCUCGAUGCCAUGGUCACGGGUCAUGACAUGGAAAUAAUGCUUACCUUCCUCCACCAAGCCUCCAUGGCUACAAGCUGAUAGGACCGAUAAGAAGAUGACCCCAUCAGGUUUUACACCAUUCAUUAACAUCUCAUCAAAAAGAUGCAUGGCUUCUAUGGCAUGGCCAUGCAUGCCGUAACCUCGAAUCAUUGAACUCCAUGCAUGCAAAUUCUUACAUGCCAUGCCAUCAAAGCAAGCGUAAGAAGAAGCCAAGCUGCCACACUUGGCAUACAUGUCGAUGAUGAUCGUCAUCCCCACAUGUCCAAUUUCACAAAAAUUCCUUAUGAUAUAUCCGUGGAUGCAUGAUCCAUGCUUUAGGCUUCCCAAAUGCCCACAAGCCGAUAAUGCACAGACUAGAGCUGCCAUAUCAGGCUUAACACCCUCAAUUUGCAUCUGAUGCAAUAGCUUUAAUGCAUGAUGGCUAUGUCCAUUAUGCACAUAAGCUCCCAUCAUGGCAGUCCAUGAACAAUACUUCUCACAGGCAUUUGAGCAAAUAUGAGGCUUGAACAACCUAAUAAGCCACGUUUUCCAUAGCCAUCAAGAAUAGAGGUAGCAACCAUGAUUUCAUGGUCAAGACCAACUUUAAUACAAACACUAUGAACCUAUUGCACCAUCUCAGAUAACCAAUUAGCACCAGAAUUAGCACAAACCUUUAGUAAACCAGUGAAACUGUUCGCGUUAACUCUAAAACUAUUCUCUCUCAUCUCUCUAAAACAACCAAACGCCUCCAAAUCCAUCCCUCUCUGUGCAAACCCAGAAAUCAUUGCAUUACACAAAGCAACAUCUCUAUGAUAAACUCCAUCAAACACAUUACGGGCACCUCUAAAACACUGAAUUUUACAGUAGAAGCUCACAAGACAAGCUCCGAAGCAGCAAUCAUGUCCAAAACCCAUCUUUAAACCGAACCCAUGAACCCCUUUUCCCCAUAGAUUUUCAGACAUAUUCAUACACGCCAUUAGAGCUGAAACCAAGGUAAUUGCACCAGGCCUCAACCCCUCUUUAUUCAAGCGCCCAAACAAUCUCAAACCCUCAUCAAUAGCUCCAUUUUCAACGUAAACAGAGAUCAUAGCAGUGAAUAAAACAAAAUCUCUCUCUUCUCUCUCAUCAAACACCCUUAGUGCACUUUUUACAAAUCCUAAUUUGCCAUAAAGGGCCACAAAAGAGGUGGCAACUGAUAUAUCAGAACUCAAGCCUUGUUUGAGAGCUAAACAAUGGAGAGAUGGAGCACAGGGAAGGGCAGAAUUGGAAAUUAAAGAUUUUGCCAAAAGUGGAAAGGUAUAAGUAUUAGGGCGACCUCCUGAACUUUGAAACUGGUUAAUGAGUUGAAAGGCUUUGUGAUGACAGCCAUGGGCAAUGGCUUCUUUGAGGAGAAGAUUUAAGGUGAAGACAUCUUUCAUGGUCACGUUGCAUUGGAGAUUGUUAUGGACGGCUGGAUUUCGCUGCGAGGCUGUGGAAGAGGAUCUGGGCCGUCGGUGGAUGGACACUCAGGAGGCAGGAGUACUCCAAACUUUCAUCACUAGUCAUGAACUCUUGGAAAUAUAUGUCUCGGGGCCAAAUUGACCUGGUUCAACCAUAUCCACAGUAAUGUCGUCACGACCAUACUCUAGAGAUUUUUAUCAUAGUCAUCAUAAUAUGGUCAUGACCACACCAUUUUUUUGUCAUCUUAAUGGGAGUUCAUUGAAAUUUCAUAACGGCUUUUCAAUUGUUUUGAGUUUUGGGACAAAGUAGUCCUCCAGUUAUUAGGGAGCAUUAAUAGAACUAUAACAAAACGAGAGUCCCUCCAUGAAGUUAUAUCCUUGCCCAGGGGCUGCCUCCUUUAAACAUAGGGAGAUUCUUGAGUCUCGUAAAGGGAAUGGGGCUUGGUCGUAGUGGUGGCACCCCACAUCUUAAUCACCACAUUGUGGUUUUCAAUUUUACCGUUAAUACUUUUACACUAAUAAUUUCAAAAACGCUAGAUCUUAAUGUACUUGAAAAAACGGGUAGGGGCUUGUCUUUCCUAUUGAAUUACCCACAAAAAAAAAAAAAAAAGGAAAAAGAAAAUAGUACAAGACCAUUUGCUUGUGGUAUGAGGAGGUUACGAUCAAUCAUAGCAAUGAGCUGUGAAAUAUGUCAUGAAGUUCAAAUUAUUUCUUGUAGACUUUGAAUAAUGGUAUAACUCACCUAUCUUAAUAUCAUAUUUAAGUUGACUGUGACAUCUUUGUACCAAAAAUGAAUGAUUUUAUUAUACAUAUAUAAAACAUACUCACUUAAAGAAAGAAUAAUAAUGGCAUAAACUUAUUUUGAAAAAUCCUAAGCUUUCUUGUAACAUUGGGAGAGAAUGUUAGUCCAAAUUCAUAUAUAUNNNNNNNNNNNNNNNNNNNNNNNNNNNNNNNNNNNNNNNNNNNNNNNNNNNNNNNNNNNNNNNNNNNNNNNNNNNNNNNNNNNNNNNNNNNNNNNNNNNNNNNNNNNNNNNNNNNNNNNNNNNNNNNNNNNNNNNNNNNNNNNNNNNNNNNNNNNNNNNNNNNNNNNNNNNNNNNNNNNNNNNNNNNNNNNNNNNNNNNNNNNNNNNNNNNNNNNNNNNNNNNNNNNNNNNNNNNNNNNNNNNNNNNNNNNNNNNNNNNNNNNNNNNNNNNNNNNNNNNNNNNNNNNNNNNNNNNNNNNNNNNNNNNNNNNNNNNNNNNNNNNNNNNNNNNNNNNNNNNNNNNNNNNNNNNNNNNNNNNNNNNNNNNNNNNNNNNNNNNNNNNNNNNNNNNNNNNNNNNNNNNNNNNNNNNNNNNNNNNNNNNNNNNNNNNNNNNNNNNNNNNNNNNNNNNNNNNNNNNNNNNNNNNNNNNNNNNNNNNNNNNNNNNNNNNNNNNNNNNNNNNNNNNNNNNNNNNNNNNNNNNNNNNNNNNNNNNNNNNNNNNNNNNNNNNNNNNNNNNNNNNNNNNNNNNNNNNNNNNNNNNNNNNNNNNNNNNNNNNNNNNNNNNNNNNNNNNNNNNNNNNNNNNNNNNNNNNNNNNNNNNNNNNNNNNNNNNNNNNNNNNNNNNNNNNNNNNNNNNNNNNNNNNNNNNNNNNNNNNNNNNNNNNNNNNNNNNNNNNNNNNNNNNNNNUAUAUAUAUAUAUAUAUAUAUAUAUAUAUAUAUAUAUAUAUAGAUUAAACUCUCUCUUGAUGUCACAUAGAAUCAACUGAAGUGGGUACUAUGAUUUAGAAAACCAUGGCAUCAGUUGUAGCAAGGAUUUGACGGGAAAUAUAUUAGAACUAAAAAGUUUAUAUAAGGUUGCAAUAUUAAAAUGUAGAAUUACGUAUACGCCUAAAAAAUCCAUCAAAAAAUGUUGCUUUAAUAUUAGAAACCCUUUAAUUGAUCAUCUCGACAUUGAGAUGCAUGAAUGUGAAAAAAAAUAAUUUUGAGUCCAAAAAUUAGUUCAUCUUGUAACACAUUAUGCAGACCGUCCAUUUUCAAGAUUUUCAUGUGUUUAUAGAUCUACUUGAUUUUAACCAUUUUUGCCGUUUACAGUUUUAUAAUUAGAUAUGAAAAUAGAUUUUAAGAUAAUCCUAAUAUGUUUUUACACCAACAUUACAUAUUAUGAUAAAAUUUGGAGGUGCGCCUUAAUUGAAUUGUUUAAGGUUGCAACCUUAUAAAAACCACACUCAUAUUAGAAUUCACCUAGGAGAUGAACUAUUUUAAAUCUUACCCCAUUUAAUUUUAAAAAUUCCAUAAAAAAAUACAUGUAUUCAUGAGUUGUAACAGUUAGAAAAGAGAAUAUUGUUAAAUAAUAUGUUUGGUGAGGUUACAAAAAUUUUCAGGACUAGAAUGCUUUGUUUUCUUUUCUUAAUGGUGAUAACAAUUGCACAACCGAAUUCUAUCUUUCUUUUUCCUCUGCUCCCCUUUUCCAAAGAAACCCAAUCCUUGUUCUUUUUGUGAAACAAUUCUCAAGGAGGCAUCAAGCCUUGAUUCCUCUUCUUCAGGGUUUCAUUAGUGUGUAUUGUGUCAGUGUGGGUCGUGUUACUCUUCUUGGACAAGAUCAGAGAGAAGCGUUUCUGUGCAUAAGCUGCAGGAACCAGAAUCCGAGUGUUUUGGUUAUGGAUUUUCUUUUUAUUUUUCUCUGUCUCCCUCGGCUUUGGCAUGGGAUUCGGUUCUUGACCGAGGCGAGUAACCUGGGCAAGGUGAGAUCUAGAGGGCUUACCUUAAGUAGUGAGUAGUGUACGAGUCCAAAGGGAACUAAAAGAUGAAAAAUAGGAAAUUUUUCAUAAAUAAUAAAAAUGGUAAAUACCAAGAGUGGAAAAAAUGAAAAGAGCGAGCCAGAUUUCUUCCUCUUUUUAGAGAGAGAGGAAAAGGGGGCAAAUUUCUAUACCCUUUUAGAGAGAGAGAGAGGAGCAUUUUGGAGAGAAAAUUUUGAAAGAUCUUAGAGAGAAUAGAUGUGGGCUACCGAACUUCCAGCAAUUAGCCCCUUUUCAAAAUUACUUACUAACAAAAAACAAUGAGACAAUUUACUUUUCAUAUAACAAGGUUGAAAAUCAGUCUUAACUAUUAGAUGUGAAAUCUAAUGGCUAGAGAGGUGUCAUUGACUAGACUCGAUAUUCAAAAAACCUUUUUUCAAACUUUGUGACCUACAUCCGGUUUCACAUCUUAUUGCUAGUGGUGAUUGUGACCUUUUGACAUUAAAGACAAGUGCAAUUGCUUAUUUUUAUUAUACCACUAAAGGACCAAUCCCAACAGUCCAAUUAGAAGGAACGGUUGGGAGCGUCACAGUACAUAUAACUUCAAAAAAGUCCAUAUAACUUGCACAUAAGAGUGACAUACUAAAAAGCUCCCCCUUUGAGGGAUAUCUUUAAAAUUCCACCCACCCUCAUCAAGCUUUCCAAGGACAUGAGAAUUACAAGUUGUAAUUAGAAUCUUGCUUCCUUUUUCAAAUGCUGCUUAUCAAUAACUUGAAUAUCAUCUUUCUUUUCUUUUCAGUCUUAAUAUCUUGAAUAUCAUCCAAUACGAGAAACAACUUUCAUCCCAUCUAAAACUCGACAAAUCUCCUUUUGUGCCCAUUUUAAUGUAGGAGUUUUUGGGCAUCAAAUUUCAUAUGUGAAUCAGGACAUCUUAGUAUCAGGAGAAACAAUGGAGUAAGGGCAAGCCUUUUGGACACACUAAUCCAUAUCAAUUCAUCAAAAUGGUCUGUUACCCUUUGAUGUUUUAUGGCUUUGAGAGGAUUGUGGUUUUGCAGUACCUCAUCCCCACUUACAAAGAGCAUAAAGGCCCCAUCUCUUCUUCCCUCAUCUAGUAGCCAAGGAACUAAUAUGUCCAGUUCUUUUUCCCAGUCUAACAAACCAGGAAUACAUGGCCCAGUCCUGCGCUAACACCAAGCUCUCUGACUCAAAAGCAUUUUCUUUUUUUAAACUAUUUGAUUUGGAUGGGGAAUCUACCAUUUGGGUUGAAAUCCAAUCGAGCAUUUCGGUGAUCUUCUUAGUCCUCUUGCCUAUUCGGUGGUGGAAUUCAGUAUUAGAAAAGGAAUGAUGGAGUAUUCUUUUUGCUUGUGUCUUGGCUUCUCUAGCACUGAUCAACACAUAAGCAAUUUCAUCACUUCCAUCACUAAGCUUCUUCGACUAGGCAUUUGGGACAUCUCCUUAAUUGUGCCUUAUCUGUUCCUUCGCUUAGAGCUGCUUCAUACUUGAUCCCGAGAUUCUUGAGUAGCAAUUUUUUGGGCUUCUCUAAUACCGAGGAGCUUAAGUUUUAUAGCACUGAUUCAACAAUGGCUAGUAUCAUGCUUCUUCUUGCCAGGCAUUUACCUUUUAGUUUUUAUACACAUUACGCAUCCAAACAACGUCCCUCCCAGAUGAUGCAUUGCAUCCUUCCGUUACUCGAUGGCCCUCGAAUUUUUGAAAGAGAGAAACCAAGUCUAAUCCCUUAACAUGUAUCAGAAGGAAAUUUUAUUGAUUUAUUUUAAAAGUUGCAACGAAGAAAUGUCAGCUUUUCAUUAAAGCAAGCAUUUGGUGGGUACGAAAGUGUUGAUUUGUAGAGAAAUAGCUCCAACCCAACUUCCCAAGCAAUCAUAGUUUUAGAACCAACCCAAAUUUAAAUAAGAGAAUUCAUGACAAAUAUAGAUGAAAUUUCUUGAAUAAUAAAUGAUUAAGUAAAAUGAACUCCCGCCUCAGCUACCUGAGUAGGCUCAUAAAACCCAAAAACUAUGAACAAAUUCUACAGAAAUUGCUGGUGCCAAAAUAUGAAUAAAUUCUAUCUGGUACCAAAAUAUGAAUAAAUUUUAUGGAAUUUGCUUCAUCAAUAUUAGGAGCCUGGGCUAAAUUUACACAUAAAUACCCAUACAGCCUUGCUCAAAGUGACAAAAAAGAAUUAAACAUAAAAGAUGAUCACAUUCUUUUGAAAUUUUCAAGGACUCCACUAAAACAUCACUAAACUGGGUGCCUGAAAAAUAUUUGCCAAAUUUUUGGGUACUUAGUACCUUCUUAAUAUUCAUGUUAUUGAAUUUGUUUUCACAUAGAGAAAGAGGUGUUUGUCUUAUGAUUUUAGUCCCACAAAUCAUAAAGCAUACCUUUCUCGGCCUUUUGCCUAAGAUUAAGUGUAGUAUCAGUUCUUAUCAGUAUAAUAUCUGAUACGUGGUCCAUCGGACCACACGAUAUUAAAUUAAUUUUUCAGUGGGGGAGGGGCUUCCACGCUAGUUAGCUAGUCGGUCCCUUGAGCAUUUACCAUGCGUUGCACUACUGCACGGGCAUGGCGCACCCCUACCAAUUCUAUUCCAAAUUUCUCCGAUGUUUUGCGCUUCAUGGAAUGUAUUCAUUUGAGCCUUCAUUUGGUAUUUUCUUCUACAAAUCACAAGGAUUAUAGAUUGGGAUAAUUUUAUUAAUCACAAGUUAUAUAGUUUGGGAUAAGUUUAUACGAGGUUCUAAACAAUCAAAAACGUAAAAAAUUUCAAAUUUCUUUUGAUGCCCAAAUAUCGAUCAUCUCAACAUCAAGAAGCCAAAUUUGUUUUAAUGCCCAAAUAUCAAUCAUCUCGACAUCAAGAAGAAUUUGUUUUGAUGGCCCAAAUAUCGAUCAUCUCGACAUCAAGAAGCAUGGAUAUGAGGAAAAAAUGAAUUUCAAGUUUUGGAAACAGACAUCAAGAAGCAUGGAUGUGAGAAAAAAAUGAAUUUCAAGUUUUGGAAAUAGUGUAUUUUGUAACGUAUUUUUGGAUUGUCAAUUUUCAAUAUUUUCAAGUUUUCAUAGAUCUAUCGAUCUACAGUAUUUUUGGAGUUUUAAACUUUAUAAAUAAAUAUUAAAAUAUAUUUUAAAGCUAUUGCAAAGACUUUCAAUAUUGAAACCAUAUUUCUCGACACCAUUUGAAGGUAGGCUCUAAUUUGAUUGUGUAGAGCCUAGGCUCUGUAUAAACCCCACACUUUAAGAUUUUACCUAUAUGUUUUGAUUUAAUUUCAAAUGUAUAUUAAAUAUACAUGAUUUUUAGUUGGAAAAAUAGAAAGGGGGUAAUGUAUUUAAUUGAAAAGUGGGGUAUUUUGCUAAAUUUCCCUAAAUCAUUUGUCUACGCAUAGUUGUAAAGCGGAAUUCAUAAAAUAGUAGCACAAUAACAUUUUAGAUAAAAAGGGUUUCUAAGACCCAUAUCUGAAUCCGAUCUCGAUGGGUUGAUUAUGGAGAUUUUCGGAAGAAAGCCUUGUCUAUUAAAUGCUUCAAUGAUGACUCUCGUCUCUCUCAUGUGUCAAGGGUCCCUAUCUUAGGCGUUAAUUCUUGGUUUUUUUUUUAAUAGACAAAUGAUGUUACCAUAUCAUGAGGCAUCAUGGUUAUUAUCAUCAUCAUAGCCUUUUCCGAAUUGUUUGGGGUCGGCUAUAUCGUUAGAAACCAUAUGGGAUCUGAUUGGGGCUAAGGAUUAUUUGCAAAGCCCAGCUCCAAACUUUUUUCUCCUAACAAAAAGAUAUAUGAAAAAGAAAUAUCAAAAUCAUAAUAUGUUAGCAAUGAAUAUAUAAUUUGGAUAUAAAUCAAUUAGUCUGCUUUGCCCUUUCACAUUCCCAUUGUUUAUAUACGCACAGUGGAACUCUUCUUCAUGGUGGUUUGUGUUUUGCUUCGACAUUAGCAUAUCCAUAGACAAUCUGGUGUCAACAAUGGAUGAUGGACAAUGAGUAUAGAAAUGACACUAUCUAAUCAUUUAUAGUUGACAUGGGUCUUGAAGGGAUCCCUCCGUUUUUUAAUUAUAUAGAAAGUAAUUAUCAUGAUAUACGAUCCAAAAUUUAUGGGACAGAGUUCUUAUACUAUAUAAGAUCAAUUACCUCUGGUACAAGGAUGUCACAAAUUGUAACUUACAAUCACUGUCACACAAAGCUAUUAGAUUCUAAAUAUGGGCGUUUAGGAUGAGUCACGAAGUUCAACAACUUUUUUUUGUUUAACUUUAGCCUUGGAAACGAGACAACCAGCUACUCGAUUUUACAUCCAAUGGUCAAUAUUGAUUACGACCUCUUCUUACUGUGUACUUGUCCAUUUGUUAUGGCACAAUUAGUUGUUUAGAGAAGAAACAAUGGUUUUUCAAAUAUUCAAAUAUCCACUUUUUGCCUCUUGAGAAUGUGGCAGUCACUUUUUGGUUUGGAAUGAAUACAUGGAGAGAGUUAAAGAAUUCUUUUUAUUCAACAGAAAAUAUGCCCAGUACAUUUGAUCUUCCUUUGAAAAUUAGGUCUUAACACUUAGAAGGUGAAAUGUGAAAAGAAAGUAUAUAUUGUAUAUCCGGUUAAUAUAGAACGUGUAUAUGAUAAUCAGUAAAUAUGGAAGGGAUGGGAUAUUGUAUCCUGUAUUAUGGUACGUCUGGGUAUAAUUUAGGUGUCUAUGAUUUAGUUUCUAUUAAUGUCAUCUGUAAUUUGUCUGUAAAAGACUGAAUAUUCAUAUAAAUUAAUGGACAUUGAGUUUUUUCAGAGAAACCUGAGACUUUUCACAUGGUAUUAGAGUCAAAUUCAUCUUAACUGUGUCCAUUCCUUGUCUCUGAAGCAUUGUCGCCGAUUUUCAAGACGACACUGUUACUCACCCAUUCGAUGCAACUUCUGUCGAGUUGUGUUUCGAUGCUCUGAUCUGUCCUCUCUGGCAAGUCAUAGUUUGACUCUUUAAUCUCUCCCUGCCGAGUCAUGUUUCGACUAUCUAAUCUGUCUAUAUGUCGAGUCGUGUUUCGACUUUCUGAUCUAUUUGAUCUUUUCCAAGAGGUCUCGAAGCCAUAUGUUCUCGAGGCUUGUCUAUUGGCUACUGCUUUCUGUCCUCGUUGAUCAAGCAAUCUGAGUAUGUACUUGAAGAUUCAACUACUUGUUUCCGCGACUUGGUGUUCAAACUCCAGCUGCUCUCUUUCAUUGAUCUCUCUUAUCUCUGGUAAUGAUAUGAGCACAAUUCAUAAAAUCAAACAGAAACUUGAAAGCACAUUUGAUAUGAAAGAUUUGGGUUUCUUGCGCUAUGUCCUUGGAUUAAAAGUUGCCUAUUCUCCUCGUGGCUAUUUGUUGGCACAAGUAAAAUAUGCUUCAGAUAUUAUUUCUCAAGCUUGACUCCAAAAUGAUACAAAGAAAAGUUGAUACCCCUCUUGAAGCAAUGCCAAAUUUCAGGCUACAGAUGGAAAAGCUUUUCUUGGCCCAAUAUUUUAUUGGCAGCAGGUUGGGAAACUGAUAUAUCUGACCAUUUCACUCCCCGAUAUUGCUUAUGCAAUACAUAUGGUUUGUCAGUUUUUUAGUGCCCCGUCAUCAAGCCUUAUUCUUCUCCUCUUCUACUUCCCUUGAGCUCUGGGUAUAUACAGACUUCGAUUUUGCGGGAAAUCCAAGUGAUCACAAAUCUACGACAGGAUUCUGCAUUUAUCUCGAUGAUUCUUUCAUCUUUUGAAAAUGCAAAAAAUGUAAACGAAUUGCUCAAUCAACUAUGGAAGCUAAAUAUCGGGCAAUGACACAAACCACCACUGAGAUUGUUUAGCUACGUUGGCUGCUCGCAGACAUGGGUGUCACUAUCUCUCCUCCAACUCUACUUUAUUAUGACAACAUGAGUGCCAUUUAUAUUUCUAAAAUCUAGAAUUCUUUGAGUGCACGAAUCAUAUUGAUGUCGAUUGUCACUAUGUUCGACAAUAAUAUCUCGCAGGCACCAUUUCCUUACCCUAUGUGCCCAUUGCAGCACAACUCGCCGAUUCCUUCACUAAGUCUCAUCUCUCGUAUCCUUUCUCACAAUAUGUUUCCAAACUCUCCAUGAUUCCUCUCACAUCAUCGCAAGUUUGAUGGGGAGUGUGAACAAACAUGGCAACUGCAACAGAUAAGGCAGCGUCUAAAUUGUAUGCUAUACCUAUAUAAAAACUGUAUUGUAUAGUUUUAGUAAGUAUUGGUUGUACCCUGUCUAUAAAUCCACAAUUGUAUUGUAGUCUUAUUGAUUGAUUAAUACAAAGAAAGAUUAUUCCUCACAGAGUGAAGCUCCUAUUUUCAUCUUUAAACUUGAACAAAAUAGCCCACUCCAAGCUCCCAUCUUUCUAAGGUCUCUAUAACUACGAGUUGUGACUAGAACCUUGCUUCCUUUUUCACAGCUCUGUAACAAAUUCUUUAGGCAAGGCCAUCCAAUACGAUAAAGAACUUCUUCCCAUCUAGAACUCGAAGAAGUUCCUUUUGUGCACAGUUCACUGUAGGGUGCUCUUAGGAAGUGAAUUUUAUCUGUGAACCAAUGCAUCUUGUUAUCCUGUGAAACAAGUUGUCAGGGGUAAUAAGCUUUUUGGCCACAUUAACCCAUAUCAACUCAUCAAAAUGGUCUCUUGCCUUUUGAUGCUUCAUGGCUUUGAGAGCAAGGGUGGAUUUGCAAAUGCUCUCAUCUCCUUUUAUAAAGAGUACAGUGGCUCCAUCUCUUCUUCCCUCAUCUAGUAGCCCAACUUGUCUAGUUCGUAUUCCCAGUCUAAUAACUCUGGAUUACAUGGCCCAGUCCUAUGCCUAAGACCGAGGUCUCUAACGCUGCAACAUUUAUUUCGACUGGCUGAUUCAAGUGGGCAAUUUAGCAUUUGGGCUGAAAUCCAAUCGAGUAUUUCAAUGAUCCUCUCGCCUAUUUGGUGAUGAAAUUCAGUGUUAGAAAAGGAUUGACAGAAUGGUGUUCUUCUUGCUUGCCCCUUGGCUUCUCUAGUGCACUCGAUCAAAAUGUAAACGAUUUCGUGGCUCUUCUAAUAUCAAGGAGCUUAGGCCUUUUAGCUUUGGUUUUAAAGUGGCUAAUGCCAUGUUUUUUGUUGACAGACUAAUCUUGAUAGAGCCUUAUGUGAGCCAUUAAAUCCAUUUUUCUGUAUAUACAUAUGGUUUGGGGGCAAAGGACACCAAGGAACUUGGGAGUCUGCCCGUCUUGUAGCACACAUUUCACAUAUCAUAGGAUAUAUGGUUUGCUAUCAACAUUAAGAAAUGCAUUAAAAUAUAAAUACCCAGGCAUCAUCUCAAUAGAGUAUUGCCCAAGGAACUUGUAUGGUAGUAAUGGUGAUGCAAUUUGAUUCCACAGGUUGACUUCUUAUUUUUUACAAGAUGAAGUUCUAUAAGGCCUAGGUUUUAUGAAAACGAAAUAAAGCUUCAUCUCAAAUCCUUAACUAGAAAGUACUUUUGGACGAGAGAAUCUCCAUGAUGGAUUUAAAUCAAUUUCUAACAUCAGAAAUAAAAUUUGAAACUAAAAAAAAGUAUAGAUCUUGCAGAUAUAUGAACACUUAUUUUUAACAUGAAAUGUACAGUCUAGAUAACUUUUUACAUUAUACACAAUUUUUAGAGCUUAAAAUCAUAUUAUUUUUUUUCACAACUAAUAUGUUUAAGCUGAGAUGAUCCAUGUAAAGGUCUUCCAAUAAUUGAAUUGUAAGUUUUGAUGAAUUAUGAUGUGAGGCUUUACUUAUUUUGAUAGGAGUGCAGUUCUAUCAAAUCAUUAUCCUUUUUUUAUAAGCAAUAAGGGUGACAAUGGGCGAGGCCGCCAGGCCCGCCCCUAAAUAGCUGUGCCACUAAAUUUUACUUGAGGAUUGGGCCGGGUAUGAAAUCUCGGCCCAACGUCCCGUCUGGGCCAAUCAUGGACUAAGGGCCUCGCCCAAUUCCUUGCUUGAACCUUUUCUUUGUUUUUUUAAUUGAAUUUCUUUUAUUAAAAAGUCAGAUAUAUACUGGUCUAGUAUGCCUUGACCCGUCUAGCCAAAGAAUAGAGCUGGGCAUGGUCAGGUCUCCCUUGGCCCAGCCCAAGACGAAGUGUUGCAACCCGAAAUAAGCAAAACACGGAUUAUAUGGGAUAUAUUAUUAGUUAUUUUAACUGAUGUCAAGUUAGUAGAAUCAAGGGCCAAAAACAACGGCGAUAGUAUACUGUACGUGAUGAGGUCAUUUACUUUUUACAAAUAUCUGUCGCACUAUGCUUAGCUGUCAGAUGUCAACCAGGACGGCUGUGAUGUGUCGUUCCUUAAAUCAAAAGUCCCCUAAAUCUCUGAAAGGGAGAAAGUUAGUCUAAUCCCUUAGAUAAAUAAGUGAGAGACAAAGAGACAUGCAGAUGAGAGAUAGAGUAGAUGAUCCUGAGCAAAAUUUAGAAAAUCGACUCGGCCAAAAAAAACUCGGAGCCUGAGUAACUCGCCUUAUUCUAACUUAUUUUUUUAAAAAAAUGAAGACAUAUCAUAAUAUAUGUAAUUAGCAAGAAGCUUUUACAAUUAAAUUGCUAAUGGCGUAUUGAUUACGUCACCUUUGCAAGAGAUGUACGAUUCGAUUCUUGAGGGCCUCCACUUUGCAAGAGCUGUGAGAUUCAAUGCUUGGGGUCCUUGUCUCCCACAUAGGGUGAGGCCGAGUUACUCGGCUGAAUCUCCACGCUGACCUAGAGAGAGAGAGGAUUAGAGAAAUCGGUGAGAGAGGUAAAGUAGAUGACAAAGAGAGAGCCUUAAACAGAUGAUUUUUACAGUAAUUGAGAGUUUGGAAUUUGGCCGCUCGAGUUCAGGUUACCAAAAGCCCCCGUUUUUUAAACAUUGGCGUAAACUUAUAAAGAAAAAAGCAGUAUACAGACUUGGUGAAGGUAUUCAGCCAUUGGCUGAGCUGAGUAACUCGACCGAAUCCUCAAGACUCGAUCCAGUCAUCACCGGGCUGGAAAGCCCUCAAUAAAAUGCAAAAAAAGAAGACGAAAAUUUCUUAAACUUAGGAAACCAUAUUAAAAUCAAUAUAAAAACAAAAACAACCUUAAGGAGCCCAAAUAAACUUAAAAAAAUAUUUUAAAAAAUAGAUGGAUACGGUUUGCAUGCAGGCCAAGCCCCCACAUGUAGAAAUGUUGGUCCCUUAAUAAAUGUGUUUUUGAAAUGGAUUUUUGGACUUAAUUUUUACAGAUAUGUAAUCUCUAACAUGGAGAUCAUGAUUAUUAAAAAAUAAAUAAAAUUUAAAAAUUAGAAAUAAUAAUUAUAUUAAAAAAAACAUAUGGACCGUUAAUUUCAAUUGUUUUUAGAUGGACCACAUAUUUGCAUCCAUCUUUAUACAUUAUCACUUUUACACCAAAAAAAAAAAAAGGGUCUUAUAUAGCGCAUCUACAUAAUGGACAUGAACUUUUGCGAGCCACCCAUAUGCCUAUACAUCGAGAGUGAAAUGUAUGAGAGCACUGCAACACCUUCACAUUCUCCACCUCUGUUUUAUUAAGGCAUAUUGUACACACUUCAUUACUCUCCCCAGCUAUCUCCUCCUCCUCAUCGUUGCUUUCUAAAGCAAUCUCCUCUUUCUUGCGGUUUGUUAAAGUUUCUCAGAGAGAGAAGGCACAAAAACAUGGUUGUCUACCUCUUCUGUCCAUGUAUUCAACCCCAGGACUCUAAUGAGCUCUUCAUAGUUUUCCUCAAUUUUUCUCAGUAAUUCACGAAAUUCUUGAAGGGUCAACAUAUUUCUCUCUUCCCCGUUUUUCAUCUUUUUACCUAUGAAAUUAUUGAGAGAGAAAGAUGAAGAGCAAUAAAUGUGUUAACAGAAAAGAAAAGACGAGAGAGGAGAGAUGAAUGCAUACAACUUAAAAAAAAGAAGUUUAUCGAUGGGAGAGACACUAUGUUAAUGGAUCUUCAUAGAGAUUGAGGAAUAUGGGAGACCUUGAGGAAUCCAUAAAGAAAUAGGAAAAGAUAAAGAAAAGAUUAUGUAAUAUUAUAUUCCAAUUUCUCUCUCUCCUUGGACAAUAAUCUCUUUAUAUUUGUUACAUUGAAUCACGUUUUCUCUCUCUAUCAAAUUAUCUUUUCUUUCAAAAGAUAAUCAUGUUUUAUGUUGAUUUAUAAAUCCUUGUUUAUCUUAAACUAGUAUACAUAGGCUUAACUCCUUGGAUGGGAGUGAAAGAUUUGUACAAUUAAAGAUAAAAUCUAUAAUUUGUUGUCUUUUUUUUUAUUUCUUGAAAAUUUUAUAUUUUGUGGAGAAAAGAAAAAGUUUCAAAAUAAAUAGAAAGGCUUUGAGAUUUACACGUGGUAGAUCAUUAAUAUCAAAAAUCGAAGAUUUAUAAAUUAUUAAUUUUGAUAAGUACUAAUAUAAUUUAUACCACAAUAUUUAAUAAGUAAUCAUCAUCAUUAUCGUCAUUCUAGCCUUCUUGCAAUUACUUAGGGUUAGAUAAUAACUUAAAGGAAAAAUUUUAUUCAAGGUUGCAACCUUAAAUGUAGAAUUAAAGACCCACCUCAAAAAUUCAUUGGAAAAAGUUGUUAUAAUAUUGAAAAAUUCUCUAAUUGAUCAUUUGGACAUCCAUAUAUGAAUAUAAAAAAAAAAUAUUUUGAGUCCCAAAAAUAGUGCAGCUUGCAACAUAUUAUCUAGACCAUCCAUUUUCAAGAUUUUCUCAUGUUUAUAGAUCUACUUGAUUUUAGUCAUUUUUUUAGUAUAAAAUGUGAUAAUUAUAUAUGAAAAUAAAUUUUCAGAUAAUCCUAAAAAAAAUUACACCAAAAUUACAUGUUAUGAUAAAAUUUGGAGGUGUGCCUUAAUUGGCUUGUUUAAGGUUGCAACCAUAUAGAAACCACACCCUAACUUAAUUAUAUCUAAUUUACUAAUAGGAUUAUAAACUCUGAAAUUAUUUAUCUUUGUUAAAAGGAGGUUACAACUGUCUCUAGCCAUUAGAUAUCAAAUUGGAUAGCUAUAGUCGCAAACAUGAUACUACAAUAUAUAUUACAAUCUAUGGGCUAAAUAAUAACAAUAAUACAAAUAUUCGUUAUAUUGCAAUGGCCUAUGAUUAUUUACUAAUAGUUAAUAAUAUUGAAUUAAACUUAAUAUCUACACUACGUUAUUCACUUAAAAUAUUUUUACUAAAAGAAUUUUAUAUAAAAUAUUGAGAUUCUUAUUUUUUUAAGGGUGCGGUUUGUAUCAAGCCAAGGCUCUAAACAAUCAAAGUAAAGUGUACCUUCAAAUAGUAUCGAUAAAUGUGGUUCCAAUACUGAAAUUUUUAAGAUAGCCUUAAAAUAUAUUUUCAUAGUUAAUUAUAAAAUUUAAAGGUUAAAAAAUAGUAUAGAUCAAGCAGAUAUAAUGAAAACUUGAACAUCUAGAAAAUUGAGAGAUUUUGGAAGAGAUAAUAAUUUUUUGUGGAACCGUUUUUGAACGGUUAAGAGCCUUAUCUUAACAUACCAUUUCCAUAUCCUAACCUAAUUAGUAAUAUAUAGAUGAUUAGAAAUAGAGAUAUAUAUAGAUGAUAUAUGAUUAAAAAUAGAGAGAUAUAUAGAUGAUAUAGUAAUCUAGAUGGUAUAAAUGUACGCGGAAGAUGCACGAUUCUCAAAACAUGAAAUCUUUUUUUUUUUUUCUUAAUGUCCAUGCAUCUUGAGUUCAAGAUGAUCCAUUUGAGGAUAUUUGAGCAUCAAAAUAACCUCUUCUAGUGAAAUUUUUGAGGUAGGCUCUAAUUUGAAUGUUUAGAGCCUCGGCUCUAUAUAAACUUUUUUCUUUUUCUAAUAUCUACCUCUCUAGAGGAUUUUUGGUUCACAUCAAAAAUAUGAACGUGAAAGUUUUUUUUUUUUAAGGAAAACUCUUUAAUAUUGAGGAGAAUAGAAAAAUUUAAGGGAGAGAUAUCCGUAGCAUGGCUAGGAAAGGAGGAGGGAAGUAGGAAAGAAAUAUGUAACCUUUGAGAUAAUUAUUGAGAUUGAAAUUUAUAGAGGAAGAGAGAGAAAUAGAGGGCGCACAUAUUUUAAGAGAGAUAUAUGCCUACUAUACUUUAGGUGGGAAAAAAAGAGGGAAUGUUUGAGAUAAAUCUUUAGAGGGAGAGAUUUUGGAAGAAAUAAUAAUUUUUUGUGGAACCGUUUUUGAAUUGUUGAGAGCCUUAUCUUAACCUACCAUUUCCAUAUCCUAAUUAGAAAUAUAUAGAUGAUUAGAAAUAGAGAUAUAUAUAUAGAUGAUAGAUGAUUAGAAAUAGAGAGAUAUAUAAAUGAUAUAGUAAUCUAGAUGGUAUAAGUGUACGCGGAAGAUAAAUCUAUCUUCCUUAUUGUAAUCUCUUGGAUAUGGUUGGUAUCAUCUGAAUUUAAACAGACGGAAGUAGGGGAUAUUAGAGAGGAGGAGACGAUUUUGGUGGUUUUUUAUUUCUUGUAAUGAGAGGAGAUUUGGUGUAAGAGAUGAUCAACGGUAUCUAGGAGUUCGAAUAUAUAUAUAUAUAUAUAUAUAUAUAGAAAACGUGAGUAUAUAUAAUAUAUAUAGAAAACGUGAGUAUAUAAAAAUAGGUAAGUUGAAGUUGGAUUCCUGAUUUUUUUUUAUUAAAAAAAAAGAGUUUGUAUCCACUUUUAGGGAGAGAAACGAAAUUUUCAAAGAACUUAUAAACUAGCAGAGAGAGAGAGAGAGAAGGGGUAUUAGAAGAGCCCAAAUCAAAUUCAUAUCCUUUAAAAGAGCCCAAAUCAAAUUCAUUUGUCCUGGUUGCACUCAAACUUGAAACUAAUUCAAUAUCGUAUCUUGAGUUUCCAACUACUAAUUCAAAACCCCAAAAGUCGACAUCAAGAACGCAACUUUAUCUAUUUAUUCUCAUUAAAAAAAAUUCACAUAAUAAAAAAACAAUGCAAAUCCUUGGACAAUGCAAUACUUUCAAUGGCACAAGCUGUCAUUCCCAUUGGGUUCUUUUGCUGUAGUGAAAUAGAGAUUAAGCAACAUAAUAUGUAAAGGACAUCAGGAAAAUAAAAUAAAAAAUCAUCAGUUAUUAAAGCAACUAUUUGCAACGCAAGAUUGUUGGUGCAAAAGGCGAGAUUUGAGGACAUGCGAGAUCGUGAACUCGGGGACGCCAAAAGAAUCUCCGAGAAAAGUCCCAUGUCUUGUUGCCGAUGUCAUAUACAUCAACCUCGAUGCUUGCGUUCAUGCCUCGAACAAUGAACAAAGAUUGUUGACGAUAUGGAAUUAUAGAGAAUCUCUCCAUCUUCAACGUACCGCUUGGAAUUCUGGAUCUUUUCUCAAGGUGCAAAUCAAUCAAUUUCUCCCACUUCCUCUCUUCCUCCCUUAACUUCCAUAUUUUCAAAUCUCGCGAUCCAGAAUCAAGAACUAGGCACACCUGGCCUCCCCAUUCGAUCAAUUUGCGAAAACAGGUGGGACAUGAAUCACAGGGAAGAGGAAUUCGUACCCAUUCUUCAGAUAUCAUGUUGAAAGCGAACAUGUCGAACCUGAUGAAUUUUUCUAAUACGUAGCACACGCUAUCGACACACAAAAUUGAACCCUCAUAUGUGAGUUGGAAUGGAUUAGCAAUGCUCUUCCAUAGUCCUAUAGCAGAAUUGAAUAUAGAAUACCCGGAGUGCCCGAAAUCUGAGGUUUGCACUAAUAUCAUAAAAUUUUCAGUUGCUGGGUCGAAAAAAAAUGCCCUAAUACUUUGAUACGAAUCAAACUUUCGGACGCUUACGCGCUUAUUAGUUGCAGGGUUGUAGACUAUUGUGGUUGCAUAGUCUGGAUAGGCCUUAUAGCACACCACACCAUUACUGGUGAUUGGAUGCUCCAACAAACGCUCUCCAACUGGUGGCUUGACCAGUCGGAGUCUCUUGGGUUUGACAUUUAUGAAACUCGAGAUGGACAGGAAGAACCAACCUGAGUAUAUGGAGAUCAAAGCGACACAGUUUGAGGGGUGCGAAGGCGUCGUGAGAAAAUGGACUCGAACAAAGUAGGGAGAGCACAGAAGCUCAUACAACCAUCUCGACACGCACUUUAUUGUGCAGACGGAUUCCGUUGGAAGCGCAACAAGAAUGCGAAACACGACAUCGUAUGGGAUGUCAUCAAGAGAGAGAGGUGAUCUGUCAUGUUCUUCUUCUUCAUGGGGAGGAAACAUAAGCUCCUUAUGAGAUGUUUGCUGAUGCAUCAAUUCUUUUGAUGAAGUCAUUUCCUCUCUUGAUUUCCUCUCGGCUUUUCUCACUGCUAGUUUCAAGAAAGGAUGGACCUAUUCGCUCUCUACUUUUCUCUCCCUUGGUUUUCAAGAAAGAAUGGGUAAGUACAAAAUCAAAAACUUAAAGAAUAUUUUUCUAAAGAGAUAAACUGUAGAGAGAGAGAGGACUAAAGUUUAACUUAAAUGAGAGUAAUGGUUUUUAGAGAGAGAAAAUCUAGAAUUCUUUUGGGGUAAGUACAAAAUCAAAAACUUAAAAAAUAUUUUCCUAAAGAGAUAAACUCAAAAGAUAGUACAUGUGUUAAGAGAGAGAAAAAGUUCGUCAAGGAAAGCUUGAUCUAUACAAAUCCUAACUUGAAUAUUGAUAAGCCUCUAUAUAUACAAAUCCUGCCGUGAGUUUGAUUCUAGAGAGAGAAAGGGAAGAAUUUCAGAGAAAAACUCAAAAAAUUACUAUUUGUCUUAAGAGAGUCAAGAAUUGAAAGAAUGUAUAGCUAGAGAGAGAGAGAAACUCAAAAACUUUAUUUCUAGAGGGAGAAGCUCAAGAAUUUAGGGAUUUAUUUCUCGAGAGGGAGGAGCUAAAAAAUUUAGGGGAUUUUGUAUCGAGAGAGAGAGAAUUUAGGAAUUGUGUUUCUUGAGGGAUUGUGUUGAGGGAGAGAGAGUUUAUCAAGGGAAGGGAUCGUUUUUUGCAACUACUGUAUAGGGGAAAUGGAAUUUGAGUCACAUACCAAUUGGGUUUUGGGUUGAAUUUGGAAAUGAAAUUAUCUUCUUUUUUUUUAAUUUUAUAUGUUUAUUUAUUUAUUUAUUUAUUUAUAUCAAUCAGAACUUAUUUUUUUUGAACUUUAUCUCUUUCUUCUUUUAUUUCAUUCAUAGCAUAUUAGGAUAUGGUUAGUAUUAUCUUAUCUGAAUUAAAACCAUCGAACAUAGGAGAUGUUAGAGAGAGAGAGGAUUUUGAUGAUUUUUUUUUGUUUCUCGUAAUGAAAGAGGAAAUUGGGUAGUUUUCAAUUGAUAGUACUUUGUAACGAGAGAGACCAUCAAGGGUUCGUAGGAAUGAACAUAUGCACUAACUAUAUCUAGUUGGAGUUGUAAUUAAGAGGAAGUUUUUUAUUAUAGAAAGUUACAUAUUUAACUUAUCUAGUUGGAAUAAAACUAUUGAGAUGGGCCUAAUCAAUGUCACGCCUUUAACUUUUUUAUUUUUUAUUUUUUCUACAAAACAUUUUGAGAUCAAAUUUUUUUUACAAACUUUUUUUAUUUUUUUAUGAUUUUAUUAUUUUUAUUUUUUCUAAAUUAUUUUUCUUAAAUUCUUACUCGAAAAACAUGUAAAAAAAAUAUUUCAGAAAUAAAAUGACCAAAAUAAUCUAAACCUUUAAGGGUAUUUUUGCCUUAUCAAAAAUAAUUUUAAAUAUUUUUUUUAAGUGUGCCCGACUGAGAAGAUGGUGCUUAUCAAAUUUUAUAUUCAUGUGAUUUGGUAAAAAAAAUUUCAAAAUAAAAUAUUGUGAGGCAUUGGAUCUAGAUCAAUUGGUCACUUGAUCUAAAUUGGACUGCUGGAUGGAGGGGUAUAAAAAAAUUUUUGGCAAGGGGAAAGAGCAAAAAAUAUAUAUGUAGAGAGAGAAGAAACCCAUUUAAAGAUAAACAUUGCAACAGUUUAAAAGCAUUUUGGAUAAAAAUCUCUCACUAUGAUAAGAGUUUAAAAGCAUAGACUUAGGGACAGGGUAUAUCCCUAACGCUCCACCUAUUAAAAGAUAAACAUUACAAUAGUUAAUUUGGCAUCGCAAGUAAAAACUAUAUAAAGAAUAGAAAAGAAAGGACUCUUUUCCCAAUUUCAAACUUUCACAAGUUAUAAAUCAUGACUAGCCAAUUACCAGAGAGAGUUUGAAAGCAUUUUCCGACAUUGGUCUCUAAGUUAAUUGCAGCUACUUAGAAUAUAAGAAAUGGAUAGAAAUAUAAGAAUUGGAAAGAAAACAUUACACCAGAUCUCCCCAAUGCAGUCCAAAUAUCAUUUGAGUAUGCAAUGGCAACAGAUUAUCUGCACCUGCCUAGGGUUACAACUGAUAUCACCAAGACAAAUUGUAAAAGAUUGGCCAUUUCAAAGUUAUACGAAGUGGGUUUUGGGGUUCAAAUCCGAAAUGAAGUUAUCUUUGUUUCUUCAAUCUUACCAUUUAUUUUUAGGUUUUUUCCAGCGUUUUAAAAAACGCCGAGUCGAACCGGACUCGCCCAGUUCGACUCGGAAUUCUCGAAAAGAGACCGGAUCGGUUGAAAAAUCGGAAAUCGUCCGGUUCUAGAGAGAAUCGGACGAUUCCGCACAGUGACUCGCCGGUUAUAGAUUUUUUUGUAUUNNNNNNNNNNNNNNNNNNNNUUUUUCUUUUUUGUAUCCACGAUUGAAUUUUUGUUUUUUUUGUUUGUUUUUUUUGUAAUCCAUGAUCGAAUUUUAUGUAAUCCAUGAUCGAAUUUUAUGUAAUCCAUGAUCGAAUUUUUUGAAAAUUUGUGAUUUUUUUUUUUAAUCCAUGAUCGAAUUUUUUUUGUAAUCCAUGAUAGAAUUUUUUGAAAAUUUGUGAUUUUUUUUUUAAUUCAUGAUCGAUUUUUAUGAAAAUUUGUUAUUUUUUUUUUUAAUCCAUAUUAUUCAAAGAGAAAAUGAGAGAGAUGAUGAUUUUGAGGCCACCCUAUCCCAGCCAUAUUAUUCACAUAUCGAGUCCCAACAGCAACAGUGUAGGGAUGAGCACAAAAUACUGUAAAUUAAAUGUUGAAUGGCGGUUCAUGCAGAGAAAGAACAUAUCAAUAUUCGCAUAUUCAUUUAAAAACAUGAAAAUUCUUAAUGGAGUACCCUCAUUUUUUAUUGAAUUCCUAAAAAAAAAUAUUUAUAAUGAAUUUUAAUAAUUUUUUCGAAUUUUUUUUAAGCUUUAUUCUGACCGAUUCACCCGAUUCUCGAUCCGGAUCGCCGAUUUGCCGAUCCGGAUAGGUUUUUUAAAAACUCGAUCCGAGUCACCGAUCCGUUUUUUAAACCAUUGGUUUUUUCCAAUCAGAACCUCUUAUCUUCUUUUUGUAACCCUUUGUUUUCAAUCACAACCUCUCGUCUUUGGGAAAAGUUUAUAUAGAGCCAAGGCUCUAAACAAUCAAAUUAAAGCCUACCUAAAAAAUUUCACUAGAAGAGGUUGUUUUGAUGCUCAAAUAUCUUCAAAUUGAUCAUCUCGACGCCAAUAAUUUGGAUUUCAAUAGCCCUUUAUUUCUUUCAUUUUUUUGCUCAGAUCUGGCAAAUAAAAAACACAAUAGAGUCUAAAUAAACCGUAAAAAAUUAAAAAGAUAUCGAUAGAGCUAGCAUCUCUUGACAUUCUUUAUGUACAACAAAAGUAAUCAUCAAUAGAAGAAUCGCAAACCCGGUUCAGAGGAUAUAACUAUGAAUUACUAUCCAACGGCUGUGGUCAUGCAUCUUCCCCAUAUAGUCUCAUCACUAGUUUUGUAAUAACCAUUUGCAAGUUUUGCUAUUGUAGUCCAGUGGUUAGGGUGAUGUAUUUUUAAGUGAUCAUGAAUCCACAAGAUUUGUGACAUUUUUUUAACAACAAAGUUUAUAUUCAAUGGUCGAAAUAGAAUUUAGAGCCAUCAUCGGGCUUCCAUGCAUGAAAUGUUACAAGGUUUUCAGGUGAAGUUUUAUCCUUUUUCAUAAGGCCUAGGGCUAAUAGAAACCUCAUCCGUUAAUCAUAAGGCCUAGGGCUAAUAGAAACCUCAUCCGUUAAUCAUAAGGCCUAGGGCUAAUAGAAACCUCAUCCGUUAAUCAUAAGGCCUAGGGCUAAUAGAAACCUCAUCCGUUAAGUGAUAAUUUUUUUAAUAAAUAAGUUCAAAUAGCAUAUAAUUACAAGAAACAACAACCCAUAUUUCCCCAUAAUGAAAUAACAUUAAAACCCCAGGCUCAAACAUUUCAAAGUAAAAUAAUGCAGAAAAAGUUUAUAUAAGGUUUUUUUUGGGUUUAUAUAAGGUUGACAACUUAUAUUAUAGAACUAAGGUGCACCUCAAAAAUCCAUCGUAAAAGACUUUUUCACUUUGGAAAGCCAUCUAAUUGAUCAUCUCGACGUCGAGAGAUAUAGAUAUGGGAAAAAAAUUCAAGUCUAAUAAAUAGUAUAUGUUUCAACAUAUUAUCUAGACCGUCUGUUUUCAAUAUUUUCAUGUGUUUAUAGAUCUACUUGAAUUAAACCAUUUUUUAAGUUCAAUAUUUUAUUUUAUAAUUAGAGAUAAAAAUAGAUUAUUGGGCCAUCCUAAGAAUUUUCAGCGUCAAAAUUGCAUCUUAUGAUGAAGUUUGGAGCUGCAUUUAGGGUUGGCAAUGGGCCAGGUGGCCCGGCCCUAAAAGUAGGGCUUGGGCCACAAACUGUGGCCUGAGGGCCAUACUAGGGCUGGUGCUGGCCCAACACCUUUAUCAUUUUUUUUUUAUUUUUAUUUUGUCUUCAUUUGUUUUUGGCACAUAGCAGACCUAUUACGGCCAGGCGGGACUCCGACCGGCCCCAUCGUGAUGAGGGCCGUGCUCGAGCCCAUCCCUGGCCUAGCCUAUUGCCACCUUUAGGUGUGUCUUACUUUGAUUAUUUAAGGUCACAAUAUUAUAUAAACCACACCCUAAUAAUAUACUACAAUACUAACAAAAAGGAGAAAAAUGCAGAUAAUCCAAGAUAAAUGUGGUUCCUUCCAACAUAUUCUAAUUUUUAAUAAAAUGGGUUAAAAGACAGAGUUCUUGAUCACAAUUAAAAGACAGAGUUCAUGGUAGGAAUUGAGCCUACGACGUACACUAAUUUUGCUUUGGAUAAGGAAAAAAUUUAUAUAAGGUUGCAACCUUAAAAUUUAGAAUCAAAGACGCACCUAAAAAAUCCAUAAUAGGCGGUUUUUUGGAUGUUGGAAAACUCUUUAAUUGAUCAUCUCGACAUUGAGAUAUAUGAAUAUGAAAAGACAAAAGAUUUCCAAACCGUCUUGUAAAAAAAAAGAUUUUCAGUCGGUGAAAUAGUGUAUCUUACAACACAUUAUCUGGACUGCCUAUUCUCAAUUAGCUAAUUGAUUUGAACUGUUUUAGAGUUUUAAAAGUUUAUAAUUAGCUAUAAGAAUAGAUUCUUAAGACAUCCUAAUUUUUUUUUUUUAUCAAAAUUACAUGGGAAAGUAAGUAUAUACGGUUGCAUCCUUACGUCCACAGCUUAUAAACCAUCAAAUAUUUUGAAUGGUUCAGAUUUCGCAUUUGAAAAUCAUACACCAAUAUUUCUAACUGGAAGCAACCGGUUACCCUUCCAGCUGUGUGUCUCUCUCUCUCCAAUCAAAACCGUGGCGGUUUUGCAGUGUAUGAUUCUCUCCUACGGGUCUUGAAUCUUGAUCGUUGAUAUACACUGAGAAAAGUGGAAACUUUUCAAAGUAAAAGGUCCUUAUUUUAAAAAAGCAGUUUUUUAGUGUUUUCAAUGGUAGUUUCUUAGGCUCCCUUUCUCUCUGAUGAUUCCAGGGCCCAAAGAAAACCACCUUACCUUUUCUGCUCUUUUUUGCAAAGUCCACGACCGUUUCGCAUAAACCCCGUUUGUGUAAAAAUAAAAAAUAAAAAAGCAAAACCCAUCUCUUUGUGGUUUCUGAUUUAGGCUCUGGGUUUCCAAUACCUAAUGGGAAAAUCACAGCGGUUUCCAAUACCUAUUGGGAAAAUCACAGCGGUUUUUGAGAAGCCAGAAUGGGUUUCAUAAAGCAUAGCAGGUCUUUUCUCUAAUUCGUGACCAGUGGCACUCUAAGGCACUGGUAAUAACGAGCCAAAUCCAUCCACCAAGACCCACUUGCUUUUUCACCAUACCUUCAAGACCCACAACACAUAUAUGGUGCAAUUAUUGCCAUUGACCACCAUCUUGAUCCAUCUCAGAAGAUCAGAGAGCUCCUCUUCUUCACUGGUUUCUCCUUCUCAAAUUCAUAAGCCUCGCCAUUAGAGCCCCUCUCCAACCCUUCUUCAAGCAUUGCAGAAUGCAUUGCGAAAACCACUAAACUUGGAUGAAAUAGCAGAGAAAAAAUUAAACAACAAUGGCGGAAGAGUGCAGCCGAAAUUGAGCACUCAGCACCUCAAUUCUCCUGUUUUCUCAUCAAAUACUUUCUCUCUCUGCACCUUUUCUCAGGUACUUCCUAAUCUAAAACAAAGGUGGAUGCAGAUCUAAGAGAAAAUAUGCAUAUCAGGCCUUUUCUCCCUCUACUAAAGCCCAGCUGCUCCUCUCUAGUUAAGUUAAUGGGCAGUGGACUUCAUGCGCAGUCACAGCCAUUGAAAUGAUUGAACGGUGGAGAUUGCUUCAAUCUUACUUCUACAGAUGCCUCCGUAUGCCAACCGCACCCAAAUUGCAUUUAUGUGGGAAAAAUCCAACGUAUUAAAAGAGGAUUAUAAUGUCGUUCAACUAUCUAAUACCCAUAUCAUUCAGUUUUCUGUUCCCAAAGAAUUGCAUGGCCAUCGAACCAUAUAUUAGUAGCUAAUGUCAUUGACUCUUAGAAAAGAUCCACAUAUCAUGUAGUCUCUCCUAAGGUUAAAUUCACUCUAAGUCAUUAGUCGUUGAAUAGAGUAGUCAAUCAUAUUUUAUUAGAAUUUUGUGAUAUUAUGUGACUGCUAAUUAUGCUUGUGUUUUUCUUGUAAUAAAAGUAAAAGUCUAAAAAUGUAUGAAACCCAAUUAUAGGUCUUUCAAUUCACCAUAUAUUUCAGGUUUAACUUCAUCUAAAGCUUUUCUUCAAAAAAAAACUUCAUCUAAAGCAGGAUAUGCAUCUCAAACCCCCUACCUAAAAUCACACGCUCCUAAACAAAAUCAAUGAAACAGUAAUGGGUUUUGUUACCAGCUAUAGAAGUAACCCAAAAAUUUGAAGCCACUGAAAACAAGUAAAUCAGAAACCAUUUCCCCACAUUCUCCAAAACUAAAGGGAAAGAAGUCAAGAAAUCAAACAAUAAUGGAGGAGUAAAAGGAAGGUUUACAGGAUCAUGCAGAGGAUGGAAAUGGCAAUGGCUAUGUAAUCACUUGGGCAUCCACCAAGAACAGAGCAGUUAGCCAUGGUUAAUGGUAUUUUGGCAAAUUGGGCAUCUUUUUAAGGUUUAAGCUCGGCAAUGGAGAGCAAAAUUGAGCAUUCGAGCGAGAAAAUCGUAUGUGGAGAAGGUCGAGGUUAGAGAGAAGAAGUUGUCGAGAGAGAAUGAGGACCCUAGAGAGAGAAAGUGCCCGAAGUACGAGGGAAAUGUCUCCCUCUGAUUUUCCC
rnacentral:lncRNA from 1 species